AAUAGAUACCCAGGUAGUCCACGCUGUAAACGUUGGACACUAGGUGUGGCGGUCUGAUCAACGACUGCCGUGCCGAAGCUAACGCAUUAAGUGUCCCGCCUGGGGAGUACGGCCGCAAGGCUAAAACUCAAAGGAAUUGACGGGUCCCCGCACAAGCGGCGGAGCAUGCGGCUUAAUUCGAUGCAACCCGAAGAACCUUACCUGGGUUUGACAUCAUGGGAAAAGCCGUGGAAACACGGUGUCCGAAAGGGCCCAUGACAGGUGGUGCAUGGCUGUCGUCAGCUCGUGUCGUGAGAUGUUGGGUUAAGUCCCGCAACGAGCGCAACCCUUGUCCUAUGUUGCCAGCGGUUCGGCCGGGGACUCAUAGGAGACUGCCGGGGAUAACUCGGAGGAAGGUGAGGACGAUGUCAAGUCAUCAUGCCCCUUAUAUCCAGGGCUGCACGCAUGCUACAAUGGUCGGUACAACGGGCAGCGAUCCUGCGAAGGUGAGCGAAUCCCACAAAGCCGGCCUCAGUUCGGAUUGG
rnacentral:rRNA from 1 species